AUAUGUACAAAAUAUAUGCCUGACUGCUCUAGGAGUACAAAGAACCAACUUAAGAAAUCCAAAUCGGUUAUAAAUACGGAUUUGUAAGCAUUAUGGCUAGUACUUCCUGGUUAAUUAUAUAGAACAGUGGACACAAUGUGAUGUUGUACAUGUAAUUGCUGCAAUGAAGAUGAUUUUAAAGAUAGCACUAUUAUCAAUCAUCACUGCGACCUUUAUUGUGACAGUAGCAGCGCAAAUAAAUCUUGCAUCACAAGGGUUAGCCUUACAACGCACAACUUUUCCAGGACGUUUUGCAAGGCUUGCAAUAGAAGGACCUGCAAAUAAUAAGAAGGCUGACGGAUGCGCUAAUACAGAUAAAGAUCAGAUUUACGCUUGGUGGGGCCUACAACUUCCAGCAGUUGCCCAUAUGACAAACAUUGUGAUCUACUUCCGA